rnacentral:rRNA from 1 species
AGAGUUUGAUCAUGGCUCAGAUUGAACGCUGGCGGCAGGCCUAACACAUGCAAGUCGAGCGGAAACGAGUUAUCUGAACCUUCGGGGAACGAUAACGGCGUCGAGCGGCGGACGGGUGAGUAAUGCCUAGGAAAUUGCCCUGAUGUGGGGGAUAACCAUUGGAAACGAUGGCUAAUACCGCAUAAUACCUACGGGUCAAAGAGGGGGACCUUCGGGCCUCUCGCGUCAGGAUAUGCCUAGGUGGGAUUAGCUAGUUGGUGAGGUAAGGGCUCACCAAGGCGACGAUCCCUAGCUGGUCUGAGAGGAUGAUCAGCCACACUGGAACUGAGACACGGUCCAGACUCCUACGGGAGGCAGCAGUGGGGAAUAUUGCACAAUGGGCGCAAGCCUGAUGCAGCCAUGCCGCGUGUGUGAAGAAGGCCUUCGGGUUGUAAAGCACUUUCAGUCGUGAGGAAGGUAGUGUAGUUAAUAGCUGCAUUAUUUGACGUUAGCGACAGAAGAAGCACCGGCUAACUCCGUGCCAGCAGCCGCGGUAAUACGGAGGGUGCGAGCGUUAAUCGGAAUUACUGGGCGUAAAGCGCAUGCAGGUGGUUUGUUAACUCAGAUGUGAAAGCCCGGGGCUCAACCUCGGAAUAGCAUUUGAAACUGGCAGACUAGAGUACUG